UUGGUCCUGUGUGGACGGACAAUCAGUGUAACUGUUUGACUCUCAGUGGGAUCAGGACCAAGAAGACGACCAUGAAAACCACUUUGAGUGUUCAGAAUAAUGAUGCAGGUUGAUGUGAACUUGAAGCUGUUUGUGUUCAGACAUAAUGUGAGUAAACUGUUUCUGAUUGGUCCACAGAGUGAAGCAGCAGAGCUCAGAGGUUCUCAGGGUUCCAUCUGCUCAGCAGCAUCAAACACACCUGAACCACAUGUUUCUGGUCUGUUGACUUCAAUCAGAUAUUAUCAUUGGACAGUUUGUUCAUAAUGUCUUCAUGCUGCAGCAACAAACACUUUGAUGAGGUUUAUUCUCUCAUUUAUAUUCAUGAGAUCAUCAUUCAUGGAUUCAUCAACAGUCACAGAU